rnacentral:rRNA from 1 species
AUGGCGUCGUGGUCUGAACUCCCAGAGGACCUCCUAGCCCUGGUCUUUGCCCGCAUCUUUUCCCCCGUCCACCGUGCUUACUUUCUGGCCGUGUGCCAUUCUUGGCGCUCUGCAGCGCGCCCCCCUGCACGGCAGCUGCCGUGGAUCGUGAUCCAGAACGGGGCGUUCAUGACCCCCUCUGACCGUACUAUGCACCGCAUCGUCUCCCACCCCAAGGCCAUGAGGAGCUGCAUUGGUAUGGCUCCCGCCGACCGUGCUCGGCACCAUCAUUUCCCCUUUCCCAAGACCAUGGCAUGCAUCGGCUCUACCGAUGGCUGGAUCAUCAUCGAGGACCGUGUGGACAACAUGCAUAGGAACUACUCGUUGCACGACAUGUUUUCUGGCACGACAUUGUCGCUCCCCGAGCUGGACGCUGCCAUCGGCCAUGUUUCCGAGCUUUUCAAGAUCCGCAAGGUGCUGUUGCGGUCGACCCCAGACGACGUUAUUGCUCUCAGGACCAACCAUCGCAGUUGCCCCAUCAUCUUAACCCGGCUUGGGAAGGGCGUGUGGUUGCCCAGGUCUUAUGCAGCUCCCCUCGUCAACAUCGUCGACGUUGCAUUUCUUGGAGACGGACUUUACGGGAUCACCAAGGAUGAGGACCUCGUCUUCCUUGACAUCGCCUUAGAUGAUAACGGCGUACCCAUGGUUAAUGGUUGCAACUGUGUGAUCGGGGAAGGUUUUGACUAUGAUGAUCACAAUGUUGAUGGCAUAGAGGAUGAUGAUGAUAAUGAUGAUGGUGAUGAUCCUCACCACAACCACGACGACGACGACGACAACGAUGCUGAUCCUCACCACGAUGAUGAUGAUGACGACGACGACGAUGAUAGCAGUGACCUUGAGGACGAGUACGAGAAUUAUGAUGAUGGUCAAGACAACGACGGCGACGACGAUGAUGAUAGCAGCGAGUACGAGAAUUAUGAUGAUGGUCAGGACAACUACGACACAGAUGAUGACUUGACCAAGAUGACCGAGGAGGACAUGGUUCCUCAAGAAAUUGAAUAUAUUGUUGUUGACGAGUCCAUGGAGCAUGACAUCCAAACCAUGUGGUACUUGGUGGAGUCGCGUGGGAAGCUGCUCAUGGUGAGGCGACAAGUGGUAUCGCCCUUUGAGUUCACUCACAAGGUAGAGGUUUUUGAGGCCAACAUGAGUGCAGCCGUGUGGGUGCCGGUGACGGACGGGCUAGAGGACCAGGUGCUCUUCAUCAGCAGACGAUUCAGCAAGUCUGUCUCUGCUGCUUGCAUAAGCAUCAGCAGGGAGACAGGAAAAGACGCCAUUUAUUUUGCUGACGCGGAUGACGUAUUUGAUAUGAGACCCCAAAGUGUGAGUGCCCAGAGGGGUGAUUUCGAUUCGUACAACAUACAUCUAAGCUCGGCGAAGCCGGAGCGGCUAACCUGGGUCUUUCCUCCGGAACUAGUAGCUUAG